GAUGAACGCUGGCGGCGUGCCUAACACAUGCAAGUCGAGCGAACAGAUGAGGAGCUUGCUCCUCUGACGUUAGCGGCGGACGGGCGAGUAACACGUGGAUAACCUACCUAUAAGACUGGGAUAACUUCGGGAAACCGGAGCUAAUACCGGAUAAUAUAUUGAACCGCAUGGUUCAAUAGUGAAAGACGGCUUUGCUGUCUCUUAUAGAUGGAUCCGCGCCGGAUUAGCUAGUUGGUAAGGUAACGGCUUACCAAGGAAACGAUGCGUAUCCGACCUGAGAGGGAGAACGGCCAAACUGGAACUGGGGACCGGUCCCGACUCCUACGGGAAGCAGCAGUAGGGAAUCUUCCGCAAUGGGCGGAAGCCUGACGGAAGAACGCCGCGUGAGUGAUGGAAGUCUUCGGAUCGGAAAACUCUGUUAUUAGGGAAGAACAAAUGUGUAAGUAACUAUGCGCGUCUUGACGGUACCUAAUCAGAAAGCCACGGCUAACUACGUG
rnacentral:rRNA from 1 species